UACGAAGGGUGCAAGCGUUACUCGGAAUUACUGGGCGUAAAGCGUGCGUAGGUGGCGUGGUAAGUCUGGUGUGAAAUCCCGGGGCUCAACCCCGGAACUGCACUGGAUACUGCCAUGCUUGAGUACUGGAGAGGAGAUUGGAAUUUACGGUGUAGCAAUGAAAUGCGUAGAUAUCGUAAGGAAGACCAGUGGCGAAGGCGAAUCUCUGGACAGUUACUGACACUGAGGCACGAAGGCCAGGGGAGCAAACGGG
rnacentral:rRNA from 1 species